UACAGAGGGUGCAAGCGUUAAUCGGAAUUACUGGGCGUAAAGCGUGCGUAGACGGUAGCGUAAGUCGGAUGUGAAAUCCCCAGGCUCAACCUGGGAACUGCAUCCGAUACUGGAUGGCUUGAAUCCGGGAGAGGGAUGCAGAAUUCCAGGUGUAGCGGUGAAAUGCGUAGAUAUCUGGAGGAAUACCGGUGGCGAAGGCGGCAUCCUGGACCGGCAUUGACGCUGAGGAGCGAAAGCCAGGGGAGCAAACGGG
rnacentral:rRNA from 1 species